rnacentral:rRNA from 1 species
CCUACGGGCGGCUGCAGUGGGGAAUAUUGGACAAUGGGCGCAAGCCUGAUCCAGCCAUGCCGCGUGAGUGAUGACGGCCUUCGGGUUGUAAAGCUCUUUUGUCCGGGAAGAUAAUGACUGUACCGGAAGAAUAAGCCCCGGCAAACUUCGUGCCAGCAGCCGCGGUAAUACGAAGGGGGCUAGCGUUGUUCGGAUUUACUGGGCGUAAAGCGCACGUAGGCGGCUUGUUAAGUCAGAGGUGAAAGCCUGGAGCUCAACUCCAGAACUGCCUUUGAUACUGGCAAGCUCGAGUAUGGAAGAGGUUGGUGGAACUCCGAGUGUAGAGGUGAAAUUCGUAGAUAUUCGGAAGAACACCAGUGGCGAAGGCGGCCAACUGGUCCAUUACUGACGCUGAGGUGCGAAAGCGUGGGGAGCAAACAGGAUUAGAUACCCUUGUAGUC